CCUACGGGUGGCAGCAGUGAGGAAUAUUGGUCAAUGGGCGCGAGCCUGAACCAGCCAAGUCGCGUGAGGGAGGACGGCCCUACGGGUUGUAAACCUCUUUUGCCGGGGAGCAACGGGCGCCACGUGUGGCGUCACUGAGAGUACCCGGAGAACAAGCAUCGGCUAACUCCGUGCCAGCAGCCGCGGUAAUACGGGGGAUGCGAGCGUUAUCCGGGUUUAUGGGGUUUAAGGGGGGCGUAGGAGGAGCGUAAAGUCAGUGGUCAAAUUGAGGGGCUCAACCCCUUCCCGCCAUUGAAACUGGCGUUCUUGAGUGGAAGAGAAGUAUGCGGAAUGCGUGGUGUAGCGGUGAAAUGCAUAGAUAUCACGCAGAACCCCGAUUGCGAAGGCAGCAUGCCGGCUUCCGACUGACGCUGAAGCACGAAAGCGUGGGGAUCGAACAGGAUUAGAUACCCCAGUAGUC
rnacentral:rRNA from 1 species